rnacentral:rRNA from 1 species
ACGCACGUUGGCGGCGUGCUUAAUACAUGCAAGUCCACUGAAGCAGUGGUAGCAAUAUCGCUGUGGAGGUGGCGCACGGGUGAGUAACACGUAGGUAAUCUGCCUUCAGGUCUGGCAUAACUCCGGGAAACCGGGGCUAAUAGCAGAUGAUGCAGCGGCUCGACAUCGAGACAGUUGUUAAAGCUAUGGCGCCUGAAGAUGAGCCUGCGUCUGAUUAGCUAGUUGGCGGGGUAACGGCCCACCAAGGCAACGAUCAGUAGCUGGUCUGAGAGGAUGAUCAGCCACACUGGAACUGAGACACGGUCCAGACUCCUACGGGAGGCAGCAGUAAGGAAUAUUGCUCAAUUGGAGAAAUCCUGAAGCAGCAACGCCGCGUGAGGGACGAAGGGCUUUUGCUUGUAAACCUCUGUAGUGAGAGAAAAAAAUCCCAAUCUUUGGGACAUGAUGGUAUCUCAAAAGUAAGCCCCGGCUAACUACGUG